rnacentral:lncRNA from 1 species
AAAAAACAAUAUUGCUUGCUGUUUUUUUCUCUUUGGACUCCUUGAGUCCGUUUUUCAGGUGUUCGUGGAGAGUUUGGCGCGCGUGGAGGCCGAAACGUGCGGCGAUCGGGCGUUGGGCGCGGCGUCGGUGCUGUUGCGGCGCUGAGGCAGAUGCGGCUAGGGUUUUCCUCUUUUGUUUUUUUUGUGUUUUGGGCUGAUGUCUGUGUUGGGCUUAGGUUAGUUUUGUUAUUGGGCCAUUUAUUUGUUGGGCCUUUGACGAGUUUAGGCCUGCUAUUAAAAAACUGAAAUUGCC